rnacentral:tmRNA from 1 species
UUUUACCCCAUAAAUGCUAUAUAAUAAGGUAUCACCAUUCGUGGUGAGUAUGACGCUAAACGCUGAUAUGGAAUAAACGUCUAUGGACCCGGGGGCAGUGCCCGGCGGCUCCACCACAAGGACAUAAGACUUGAUCGAGAGCAGUUCAGGUACUUGUGUCCUUCUGUGGGGCCGAAACAGGAUCGACAUGCGUAGUAAAGAUAUUAAGCGGCGUUCGAGAUGGUACCUUCGUUACAGGACCACGCAUUAUAAAUGCAAACGAUAAUACAAAUGUCGUAGCAGCUAAUGACAAUGGCGCAUUCGCCCUUGCCGCCUAAUCUUUAUUAGGUUACUAACUGCAAAAAUUGAAUUCCUUGGAUUUUGACUAUCUAAGGUGGGGCAUGGGUCGGGCCUCGCAACAGAACCGG